GUGCCCCACCCCGGGCACACGAGGCCUCCACUGCGGUUGCGCAGCCUGCCGAAGAGCGUGCGGCUUCUACUGCGGCUGCGCAAGCUCGACGCGCGCACUCUUGUCUGCUUACGAGGGCUCCUCCCUUCAGCUUUGGUCCCUCGGGGCGUCUGGGCAGCCUACGCUUUCCGGAUAAAAAUGGCAGAAUGAAAGAAUUAUGAGUGGAACUAGAGAAUAGGAAAGACAUGAACCAACGCCCAAAAUGAGAAAGAAGGACAUAUAAAGAAAAAGACAAAUACAAGUGAAAAAAAUAGACUAAUGGAUUAACGUCCCUGUCGUGUGACAUUUUCUGACUAUGGAAAUGAUAUUAGACAAAAAGCAACUUCAAGUGGUUUUCUUAUUUGAGUUCAAAAUGGGUCAUAACGCAGCAGAGAUAACUUGAAACAUGAACAGCGCAUUUGGCCCAGGAACUACUAACGAACAUACAGGGCAGCUGUGAUUCAAGAAGUUUUGCAAAGCAGACUAGAGCCUUGAAUAUGAGGAACACAGUGGCCAGCCAUUGGAUGCUUCACUUCUUGAAGCAUCUUGACAGCUUUUUGCAGGUGAAAUGCUUCCACACCAGCAGGAUGCAGAAAAAUGCUUUCCAAGAGUUUGUUGAAUCCAGAAGCAUGGAUGUUUAUGCUGCAGGAAUAAACAAAUUUAUUUCUCGUUGGCAAAAAAGUGUUGAUUGUAAUGGUUCCUAUUUUGAUUAAUAAAGAUGUGUUUGAGCCUAGUUAUAAUGAUUUAAAAUUAAUGGUCCAAAAAUGCAAUUACUUUUGCACCACCACCAACACACACACACACCUACACAUUCUGGAUUUGAAUUCCAUGUUGAUUAUAUGCACUUGGAAUAUUUCUUUUCCAUCUGUGGAUUGUUCUGUCACUUAUUUUCUUUAAUAAAUGGGUUUCUGAACCUCUGUUGUAUUGACAAAAAAAAAAAAAAAA
rnacentral:lncRNA from 1 species